GAGUUUGAUCAUGGCUCAGGACGAACGCUGGCGGCGUGCUUAACACAUGCAAGUCGAACGAUGAAGCCUAGCUUGCUAGGUGGAUUAGUGGCGAACGGGUGAGUAAUACGUGAGUGACCUACCUUUGACUCUGGGAUAAGCCUGGGAAACUGGGUCUAAUACCGGAUACGACCAAUCUCCGCAUGGGGUGUUGGUGGAAAGCGUUAUGGAGUGGUUUUAGAUGGGCUCACGGCCUAUCAGCUUGUUGGUGAGGUAAUGGCUUACCAAGGCGACGACGGGUAGCCGGCCUGAGAGGGUGACCGGCCACACUGGGACUGAGACACGGCCCAGACUCCUACGGGAGGCAGCAGUGGGGAAUAUUGCACAAUGGGCGCAAGCCUGAUGCAGCGACGCCGCGUGAGGGAUGACGGCCUUCGGGUUGUAAACCUCUGUUAGCAUCGAAGAAGCGAAAGUGACGGUAGGUGCAGAGAAAGCGCCGGCUAACUACGUGCCAGCAGCCGCGGUAAUACGUAGGGCGCGAGCGUUGUCCGGAAUUAUUGGGCGUAAAGAGCUUGUAGGCGGUUGGUCGCGUCUGCUGUGAAAGGCUGGGGCUUAACCCUGGUUUUGCAGUGGGUACGGGCUAACUAGAGUGCAGUAGGGGAGACUGGAAUUCCUGGUGUAGCGGUGGAAUGCGCAGAUAUCAGGAGGAACACCGAUGGCGAAGGCAGGUCUCUGGGUUGUAACUGACGCUGAGAAGCGAAAGCAUGGGGAGCGAACAGGAUUAGAUACCCUGGUAGUCCAUGCCGUAAACGUUGGGCACUAGGUGUGGGGGACAUUCCACGUUUUCCGCGCCGUAGAUAACGCAUUAAGUGCCCGGCCUGGGGAGUACGGCCGCAAGGUUAAAACUCAAACGAAAUUGACGGGGGGCCCGCACAAGCGGCCCCCCACGGGGAUUAAUUUGAUGAAAUGAGAAGAACAUUAUUAAGGGUGGGGGGGUUUCCCCCUGCGUCCCCCCCCCCCGUUUCCUUUCGGGGGUGAAAAAAAAAAAGUGCAUGGUUGUCGUCAGCUCGUGUCGUGAGAUGUUGGGUUAAGUCCCGCAACGAGCGCAACCCUCGUUCUAAGUUGCCAGCACGUGAUGGUGGGGACUCAUAGGAGACUGCCGGGGUCAACUCGGAGGAAGGUGGGGAUGACCCCCCCCCCCCCCGCCCAUUAUGUCUUGGGCCUCCCCCCCCCCCCAAUGGCCGGUACAGAGGGUUGCGAUACUGUGAGGUGGAGCUAAUCCCUAAAAGCCGGUCUCAGUUCGGAUUGGGGUCUGCAACUCGACCCCAUGAAGUCGGAGUCACGAGUAAUCGCAGAUCAGCAACGCUGCGGUGAAUACGUCCACGGGCCUUGCACACACCGCCCGUC
rnacentral:rRNA from 1 species